GACUGGAAGUGCUCAGAACAAGAGCCCAGGCCUGGGUGCUGCUCUGAGAUAUGCAGGAGAAGCCUGAAGAAAGCCCUUCUGGAGUGGCAACCUGUCCCCUCUCUGGGAAAUACCUGAGCCUGAAGCCUGCAAGAGAUGGUGGGAGGACCCAUGACAUCUGCCAGCAGCCUGGAGACCUUGGUCCUGAGACCCAGGACAACUGUGUGGAGAACAGAUCUGGAAUGGAUCACUUGAUCUUGUGUAUGCUGGACAAAGGCUUCAGAUUCAACCAUUUCAAUUUGACAAACACCAUCACAUCUCACGACAUCGUCCUCCACAAAGAAAUCCUGUGUUCCAUCCUAACAAAUACCUGUGCUACACUGCACUGUUUCGCUUGCCUCCUGCCCUGCCUCCUUUGGUUUCUUCGACAGCCUUCCCUGGAGUCACUGCCUUCCACACAGUGCCUAAGAGCAAGCCCAUGAAACAUUCAUGGCCCCACGUGGUGGGAGAACCAAGUUCUACAAGUUGUCCACGAACUUCUACAUGGGCCAUGGUGCACCUGGUCACACAUUCAAUAAAUACGUAUAAUUCUAAAU